rnacentral:rRNA from 1 species
AUUGAACGCUGGCGGCAUGCUUUACACAUGCAAGUCGAACGGUAACAGGUUAAGCUGACGAGUGGCGAACGGGUGAGUAAUGCAUCGGAACGUGCCCGGUCGUGGGGGAUAACGCAGCGAAAGCUGCGCUAAUACCGCAUACGAUCUGAGGAUGAAAGCGGGGGACCGUAAGGCCUCGCGCGAUCGGAGCGGCCGAUGUCAGAUUAGGUAGUUGGUGGGGUAAAGGCCUACCAAGCCGACGACCUGUAGCUGGUCUGAGAGGACGACCAGCCACACUGGGACUGAGACACGGCCCAGACUCCUACGGGAGGCAGCAGUGGGGAAUUUUGGACAAUGGGCGCAAGCCUGAUCCAGCAAUGCCGCGUGCAGGAAGAAGGCCUUCGGGUUGUAAACUGCUUUUGUACGGAGCGAAAAGGCUCUCUCUAAUACAGGGGGUUCAUGACGGUACCGUAAGAAUAAGCACCGGCUAACUACGUGCCAGCAGCCGCCGUAA